rnacentral:lncRNA from 1 species
CUUCGAUUGGCUCUUAGCUGGAGAGUUGAGCCGCAUUUAAUUCGAGAGAUUGCAUUUAUCGAAUGCGAUUUACAUGUGUUCGCUUUCUGUGUAUUCUUUGGUGUUUCUCUUGCAGGCGCGGCCAACGCAGGCUCUUCGUAAGCGUCCACUGCAGUGCGGUCUUCCCUGAAGGAAAACAGCUGUGUGUUUGACGGCACACUGCUUUGGCGGAUACGAAAAGUGAAGGAAGUCGGUGUACAGCGGCUUCAAGUUCACUUCCACGUUCCGUGCACGUGUGCCCUAGCUGCGUGAGUGCUGCGUCUACGUCUCGCAAACCGCAGUGGGUGUUUUUUCUGCCGAAGCCACUUUCUGGGCAUGCAUGUUUCUCGAGUAUUCGUGUUGGGUGAAUCCGUUUUGUUGGCUCUUUGCCGGGCAGCACGAUCCUGUGGAUGUGUCGAUGAGCCGACGCGCCUCAGGGAGGAUGCAAAUACGUGGAUCAUUUGCUUUCUCGUGUACAAUAACAUCAUUUCCGCAUCGUUGCGCCUACGGCUCACUUCCGGUCGAUGAGACGUGCCCCUGUGUCUCUCAUGCGUUGGUCUUUCUUCCGCCGAGGCGACCUCGAGUGCCUUUGUACAAUUACACCACCACACCUUUUUUCCACCAGUCGUUACCCGUGCAUGUUGUCGCGAUCUGUCUCUCCGCGUCAUUUUCAUGAAGUGGCCUGGUGGCCUGCGAAAGGAGGAAAUGAAAAAAGGAGUGAAGGUUUCACCGCUGCGUUUCCAGUGUGUAUGAAGCUUUUUUCCUUAUCUUCAACGUCCUCUAGUGGUUCCCCUGUUUGUCAGUUAGUGUUGUUUGCGGUUCUGUAUAUUCACAUUUCUUGGCUGGAAAAAUCGCCAUCCACCAUUUCCGAGGGCAUGUUCCCACUUCAUGCCCACCUCGACAUUUGCCUCGAAUGAGGCCGUUCGUUUCCUUUCUGCCUACCGCAUUCUUCCGUCAUCUGGCAUCCGUUCACGCCACCAAAACAUUCCGUUCCGUGUUGCCGCAUUCCACUGAAUUCGAUUUCGCGCGAGAGCCUUUGUCGCAUGCACUCCGACCCAGCCCCGCGCUGCAGCUGCUACAUAGCUGCUGCCGCCCGGAUGACAAUGAAACAAGCGA